rnacentral:lncRNA from 1 species
GUGAGCCUGCCCACCAGCCAGCUGUCACUCUGAGAGACGUACUUCCUUUCUACCUUCAAUAAAUGGACACUCUCGCCGCCUUUUCAGUGUCUUGACCAAGUCUUUGUGAGGACACCGACCUGGAACGAAGCCCCACAGGACCCUGCACCCAGCACAGGUGCGCCUCGUCCCAACAGCAAGAAAACUAUAAAGUUUGGACAGAAUAUUUCAAGGUUUCUACUUGAAAAGCCGGCACAGCCUAGAGGUCUACACUCAGAGGGAAGGCACUGGGCAACUCUCGCUGUCACGGCUUUAUUCCCAGAGGAGAGCCGAGCUGGAACCACACAGGUAAGCCACAA